rnacentral:rRNA from 1 species
GGUUGAUCCUGCCAGUGCUCAUAUGCUUUUUUCAAGGACUAAGCCAUGUAUGUCUCAGAGCAAGCUCGGAUUCGAAAAAGCACGUUUCCGUACAAAGGUCGAUCUGCGGAUGGCUCAUUACAACAGUUGUCAACCUCGCACCCAAGUGGGUCGUCAGAUGGAACGAUGUCCGAUUCGGUUUUACCGCCAUGUGAUACCCGGCCCAACUGGCUGGCCAAUACAGUUACGAAUGCAAGACAUCCAUGAGAAGUUCUUUUCAGAGAGAAAGGUGCUUUCUUGUGGAGGUAAGGCUCUGGUCCCGAACUCCACAGACCGGUGUCACUUCACAGUGACAGAUACAGAAAAGAUGAGGAGAUGGGCUUCAUGGCAUAUGGGCGAAGGCGGAAUCGAGCAACAGAAGGCAUGGUAUCGAAUCACAGUCCGGAAAUUCUGCAUUGCGGUGAGAAGAAAUAUAUCCUGGCCAGGUUAGUUGAUUGAUAUCCAUUGCUCUUCAUGAACUGGUUGCCGCGAUGGUGCAGGCACUUCUGUCCUAUCAGGCUGUUGAAGGUGGUGUCACGGACCACCUUGGCUUACACAGGUAACGGAGAAUUAGGGUUUGAUUCCGGAGAGGGAGCCCAAGAAAUGGCUACCAGAGCUAAGGCUUGCAACAGGCGCGAAAAUUGCCCAUUGUCAACUCAGAAGGCCAAAUGGCUACGUUGGAACGAGGCAGCGACGAGAAUAAGCAUCACUGUUUUCCUAAUCGACAGCAGCGAAUGCCAUGGAUGUGUAUCCAAAUCUGGUGCCAGCAGCCCGCGGUAAUUCCAGCUCUAAGAGUGUAUAGCAAUGCUGUUGCUGUUAANGCGCUCGUAGUCUACCACAGCAGCAAGGGGCUACAGUUUGGGAUAUGUUUGCGUGCAAAGAACACGGAAUCCGUGAGUUCGCAGACCCCAUCUGUACCAUGUCCUCUUGUUGAAAGAAACAGAUCAAGACAUCCAAUGUGGGGAGUCCAUCACACAUGUGAGAAACAGAUUUGUCGAGGCCCAAAUGAAAGGUGAGAGCAAUGCUCUCGCAGAAUGCGGUGACAGCUGCCGAAAGUGCGGUUUGAAGGACUUCCCUUUCUUAUCCCUUGAGGGAAAAGUUAAAUAGGGUUGUUCCAUCGCAGUGGCUCAAACUCGGCAUCCCCGCAAAGUCAUUGGCAUCCUGAAUAAACCGGUGAGCUCAAAGCAGGUCAGCGAAAUAUUGUGGAUGAUUGAGGGGCUGUAUGUCCACAAAAGGGCAUGCUUCUCUCCUUCAAGGCACAUCGAGAAGUUUCUGUGUCAUUCAUAUUCAAUUGAAAGGAUGCACAGUCACAUUCCGAACGAGCCUU